CAAUCAUCAUCACCAUCAUCAUCAUCACCAACAUCACUCAACAGAUCUGGUACCUCAGUGGUCAUCAUGGUGUCUGUUAGUCUGGUAGUGUUGCUGCUGGUGAUCAGCCUGAUCAUAGUCUACAGAUGGAAAUACAACAAGGCCACAGGAUCUGUCUCUUCAACACACAGAGUGAGCCCAGCCAAAGGGAACAACAAAGGG